rnacentral:rRNA from 1 species
GACGAACCGUGCGAACGUUAUUCGGAAUUACUGGGCGUAAAGCGUGCGCAGGCGGUUUUGUAAGGCUGGCGUGAAAUCCCCGGGCUCAACCUGGGAAUGGCGAUGGAGACUGCAAGGCUAGAGUUUGGCAGAGGGGGGUAGAAUUCCACGUGUAGCAGUGAAAUGCGUAGAUAUGUGGAGGAACACCGAUGGCGAAGGCAGCCCCCUGGGUCAAAACUGACGCUCAUGCACGAAAGCGUGGGGAGCAAACAGG